rnacentral:rRNA from 1 species
GACGAACGCUGGCGGCGUGCCUAACACAUGCAAGUCAAAGAGUGGCGGCUUCGGCCAAAGCUCUUGGCGCAAGGGUGAGUAAUGUAUAGGUAAUCUGCCCUUUGGACUGGGAUAACCCCGAGAAAUCGGGGGACAAUACCAGAUGAUGCAGCGGAACCGCAUGGUUAUGUUGUUAAAAGAUUUAUCGCCAAAGGAUGAGCCUAUAUCCCAUCAGGUAGUUGGUAAGGUAACGGCUUACCAAGCCUACGACGGGUAGCUGGUCUGAGAGGAUGAUCAGCCACAUUGGAACUGAGACACGGUCCAGACUCCUACGGGUGGCUG